UCCCCUUCCACCUUCCCCCACCCUUCUUUUCCAACCUCUGUACGGCUCUUAGCUUGAUUCCAGCCUUUGCUGCAGCUGCUCUCCAGCCGUUUGCAGGGUUCAAAGAACUACAGAAGCUGUUCCCAAGAUGGUGAUCCGUGUGUAUAUUGCAUCUUCCUCUGGCUCCAUGGCGAUUAAGAAAAAACAGCAAGAUGUGCUUGGUUUCUUAGAAGCUAACAAAAUAGGAUUUGAAGAAAAAGAUAUUGCAGCCAAUGAAGAAAAUCGGAAGUGGAUGAGAGAAAAUGUACCUGAAAACAAUCGACCAGCCACAGGAUACCCCCUGCCACCUCAGAUUUUCAAUGAAAGCCAGUACCGUGGGGUAAGGAACCAAUUAAAAUUCUGUUUUUUUUUUUUUUUUCAAAUGGAUUGCCUCAAACCCAUUCUCUUUCUUUUACUCCCACUCCAAAUCUCAAUACAGUCAUUUCUCCUGCUUAUCCUUUGCAUCCAUCCUAGACAUCUGGGGUGUUUUGCCUUCUCAGUUCAGUUCAGUUCAGUUCAGUCACUCAGUCAUGUCCGACUCUUUACAACCCCAAGAACUGCAGCAUACCAGGCCUCCCUGUCCAUCGCCAACUCCCGGAGUUUACUCAAACUCAUGUCCCUUGAGUUGCUAAUGCCAUGUCAUCCUCUGUGGGCCCCCUCUCUUCCUGCCUUCAAUCUUUCCCAACAUCAGGUCUUUUCAAAUGAGUCAGCUCUUCACAUCAGGUGGCCAAAGUAUUGGAGUGUCAGCUUUAGCAUCCAUUGUUCCAAUGAAUAUUCAGGACUGAUUUCCUUUAGGAUCAACUGGUUGGAUCUCCUUGCUAUCCAAGGGACUCUCAAGAGUCUUCUCCAGUACCACAGUUCAAAAGCAUCAAUUCUUCGGUGCUCAUCUUUCAUUAUAGUACACCUUUCACAUCCAUACAUGACUACUGGAAAAACUAUAGCUUUGACUAGAUGGACCUUUGUUGGCAAAGUAAUAUCUCUGCUUUUUAAUAUUUUGUCUAGGUUGGUUGUAACUUUUCUUCCAAGGAGCAAGUGUCUUUUAAUUUCAUGGCUGCAGUCACCAUCUUCAGUGAUUUUUGGAGCCACCCCCCCCCCCCAAAUAAAGUCUGUCACUGUUUCCACUUUUUCUCCAUUUAUUUGCUGUGAAGUGAUGGGACUGGAUUCCAUGAUCUUAGUUUUGUGCAUUUUGAGUUUUAAGCCAACUUUUUCACUCUCCUCUUUCACUUUCAUCAAGAGGCUUUUUAGUUCUUCUUCACUUUCUGAAGGGUAG
rnacentral:lncRNA from 1 species